rnacentral:rRNA from 1 species
GACGAACGCUGGCGGCGUGCUUAACACAUGCAAGUCGAACGAUGACGACCGAGCUUGCUCGGUCUGAUUAGUGGCGAACGGGUGAGUAACACGUGAGCAACCUGCCCUUCACUCUGGGAUAACCUCGGGAAAUCGGGGCUAAUACCGGAUAUGAGCUCCUGUCGCAUGGCGGGGGUUGGAAAGUUUUUCGGUGAAGGAUGGGCUCGCGGCCUAUCAGUUUGUUGGUGAGGUAGUGGCUCACCAAGGCGAUGACGGGUAGCCGGCCUGAGAGGGCGACCGGCCACACUGGGACUGAGCCACGGCCCAGACUCCUACGGGAGGCAGCAGUGGGGAAUAUUGCACAAUGGGCGAAAGCCUGAUGCAGCGACGCCGCGUGAGGGAUGACGGCCUUCGGGUUGUAAACCUCUUUCAGCAGGGAAGAAGCGAAAGUGACGGUACCUGCAGAAGAAGCGCCGGCUAACUACGUG